AGGUGGCAAGCGUUGUCCGGAUUUACUGGGUGUAAAGGGCGUGCAGCCGGGAAGACAAGUCAGAUGUGAAAUCCCGCGGCUCAACCCAUGAACUGCUCUCAAAACUGUUUCCCUUGAGUAUCGGAGAGGCAAGCGGAAUUCCUAGUGUAGCGGUGAAAUGCGUAGAUAUUAGGAGGAACACCAGUGGCGAAGGCGGCUUGCUGGACGACAACUGACGCUGAGGCGCGAAAGCGUGGGGAGCA
rnacentral:rRNA from 1 species